rnacentral:rRNA from 1 species
CACGUAGUUAGCCGGUGCUUCUUAUCUAGGUACCGUCACACAAAGCUUCGUCCCUAGCGAAAGGAGUUUACAACCCGAAGGCCUUCAUCCCCCACGCGGCGUCGCUGCAUCAGGCUUGCGCCCAUUGUGCAAUAUUCCCCACUGCUGCCUCCCGUAGGAGUCUGGGCCGUAUCUCAGUCCCAAUGUGGCCGUACACCCUCUCAGGCCGGCUACCCGUCGCCGCCUUGGUAGGCCAUUACCCCACCAACAAGCUGAUAGGCCGCGAGCUCAUCCUACACCGAAAAAACUUUCCAACCACCACACUAAAGAUGGCUCCUAUCCGGUAUUAGACCCAGUUUCCCAAGCUUAUCCCGAAGUGCAGGGCAGAUCACCCACGUGUUACUCACCCGUUCGCCACUCGAGUACCCUGCAAGCAGGGCCUUUCCGUUCGACUUGCAUGUGUUAAGCACGCCGCCAGCGUUCGUCCUGAGCCAGGAUCAAACUCU